UGUAAUAUGAAAAUAGAAAAUUGAGAAUUUCUUAAAAACUGUCUGGAUGAUUUUCUUGAAGUAAAAUGCAAAAUGAGUGAUAAUUCGCGGUCUAUAUGUUAAUCUACCGUGCAUUUAGGGCCAUUAUCGGAGGCAUUAAAUAAUAAAUGUUAAAAUUUGAUAAAAUAUUGCCGGCAUUUUGAUAAAGAAAAAUGGUAAGUACAUUUUGCUGAUAGUUUUUUUGCAUUAACAUGGGGUGUAAUAUUGUUUCGUGACUGCUUGUUUCUCGGUGGUCCGCGCCGGCUGGCUCAUCGGCUCCUUGGGCGUAGUCCCAUUCCUGGCCCGCAGUUCGCACAAUCGAUAUCAACAAAGCUACAACAUCGGUCCCCGGUUCCGGACCCAGCGUACCCGCCCUACCUGAGACGAUCACCUGAUCUCGCCUCCCUCAUUUUGGCCACUAGAUGGCCUGCAUCAGCCCGUGUCGGCUGUUAUGCCCACUCUCACCAUCAAUUUAAACUUAGCCGGACAUUUUUUUCCUUCAAUAUCCACUUACAAUCUCAUGCAAGCGGACAUUUCCCUCAACUUCACAGGUAUCUUUGCAGGUUAUCUCCGCUCAGUUAUUUACGUUCUCAUGCUUGUGGAUAUUUUUUAUAGCCGAACAAAACGAAGAAAGGAAAAGACGUCAGCGAAAGCUAAUGCCAACCGCCGUUGGGGACCACGUGGGAGAACAAAUAUUAAAUUGAGCGAUUGGUCCCCACACGUUCGUGCACGUAUAUAAUUUUAUAUAUACAUAAUUAUAUAUAUGUUACAACGCUGAAAAAACAAUGGAAUGUUGUAAAGAAGCUUUUAUAAAAAAGAGAAAUUUGUAGGAAUCAAAUCGCUUAAGUACGCUUAACCUACCUAAAGAGCCCUGGGGGCGCUAAG